rnacentral:rRNA from 1 species
CGGCGGACGGGUGAGUAACACGUGGAUAACCUACCUAUAAGACUGGGAUAACUUCGGGAAACCGGAGCUAAUACCGGAUAAUAUAUUGAACCGCAUGGUUCAAUAGUGAAAGACGGUUUUGCUGUCACUUAUAGAUGGAUCCGCGCCGCAUUAGCUAGUUGGUAAGGUAACGGCUUACCAAGGCAACGAUGCGUGGCCGACCUGAGAGGGUGAUCGGCCACACUGGAACUGAGACACGGUCCAGACUCCUACGGGAGGCAGCAGCC